UAAUACAGAGGGUGCAAGCGUUAAUCGGAGUUACUGGGCGUAAAGGGCGCGUAGGCUGAUACUUAAGUCGGUUGUGAAAUCCCCGGGCUUAACCUGGGAAUUGCAGUCGAUACUGGGUGUCUAGAGUAUGGUAUAGGAAAGCGGAAUUCUCGGUGUAGUGGUUAAAUACGUAGAUAUCGAGAAGAACAUCAGUGGCGAAGGCGGCUUUCUGGGCCAAUACUGACGCUGAGGCGCGAAAGCGUGGGGAGCAAACAGGAUUAGAUACCCUGGUAGUCCACGCUGUAAACGAUGAGAACUAGAUGUUGCCCGACUUUUGUUGGGCAGUAUCGUAGCUAACGCAUUAAGUUCUCCGCCUGGGGAGUACGGUCGCAAGAUUAAAACUUAAAGGAAUUGACGG
rnacentral:rRNA from 1 species